rnacentral:lncRNA from 1 species
CACAGACUGGGGAUGGUAAAGAACACAGGACUGGGGAGACUGGUACAGAACACAGACUGGGGACUGGUACAGAACACAGACUGGGGAAUGGUACAGAUUGGGGAAUGGUAGAGAACCAGAGCUGGGGAAUUGUAGAGAACACAGAGUGGGGAAUGGUAGAGAACACAGACGGGGAAUGGUACAGAACACAGACUGGGGAAUGGUAGAGAACACAGACUGGGGAAUGGUACAGAACACAGACUGGGGAAUGGUACAGAACACAGACUGGGGAAUGGUAGAACACAGACUGGGAAUGUACAGAACAGACUGGGGAAUGGUACAGAACACAGACUGGGAAUGGUACAGACUGGGAUGUACAGAACACAGACUGGGGAAUGGUAGAACAGACUGGGAAGGUACAGA